rnacentral:rRNA from 1 species
GACGAACGCUGGCGGCGUGCCUAAUACAUGCACGUAGAACGCUGAAGGAGGAGCUUGCUUCUCCGGAUGAGUUGCGAACGGGUGAGUAACGCGUAGGUAACCUGCCUGGUAGCGGGGGAUAACUAUUGGAAACGAUAGCUAAUACCGCAUAACAGUAGAUGUUGCAUGACAUUUGCUUAAAAGGUGCAAUUGCAUCACUACCAGAUGGACCUGCGUUGUAUUAGCUAGUUGGUGAGGUAACGGCUCACCAAGGCGACGAUACAUAGCCGACCUGAGAGGGGGAUCGGCCACACUGGGACUGAGACACGGCCCAGACUCCUACGGGAGGCAGCAGUAGGGAAUCUUCGGCAAUGGACGGAAGUCUGACCGAGCAACGCCGCGUGAGUGAAGAAGGUUUUCGGAUCGUAAAGCUCUGUUGUAAGAGAAGAACGAGUGUGAGAGUGGAAAGUUCACACUGUGACGGUAUCUUACCAGAAAGGGACGGCUAACUACGUG